rnacentral:misc_RNA from 1 species
AAAGAAGCAAAAAAAACCAUAGGAAAUGUGUUCUGCUGUUAUACACUGUAUAGUUGUUCUUGUUCUUGUCUUUUCUCUUGAUGAGGGACAAAAAAAGUCAAGUUACUGCUGUAGUCAAGGGAAGAAACAAUUUCUCAGUGGUAAAGAGGAGAAAACACUGUAUACUCUGUUCCAGUAACAGUUCCUGUGAUGUCUAGGUUUUAGUGUAUUAGUAUAGAUUGCUAGGAUCUG